rnacentral:misc_RNA from 1 species
GUCAAUGGGAUUGCAUGAUAUAGCUUAGCUGUAGGGUCAUAGAAACCAGAAGCACCAGAUGCAAAAUUGGCACCAAUCAGGAGGUUUGUGCCUUGAGCUUCUUUGCUAAGGUAGGCUGGUGGAUAAGAAGUGAAGCCUAUGUUCUCAGCAGUGAAAUCAGAGGCAAGUUUUCCAUUGCAGAAUCUGCCAGUUGGUUGAUGAUUGAUAAAGUCCCUACCAUAAGGAGGGAAGUUUGCCUUUACAAUAGUGUAAAGGUGGUUGUUGUUGCCAGCAUCAACAACAGAAUCUCCAAAUAUGAACAAGGCAGGAACCAGAGGUUGGGCAUUGGCCACCGAGAAAACCAGAGCAAUAAGAAGAAAGGAAGAAUACAAAGAAUUUGACAGGUCCAUAAGUUUCAACUUCUUUUUUGGCUUGAUUUACGUAGGUGUGUGUAAGAGAGAGG